CGAAUUUUAAAAACGUAAAAUAAAAGUUUUCUAAAGCGAAAAUAUGGAAUUGAAGAGGGUAAUACAGUAAUUCUUCAUUGCAUUGUCAAUUCGAAGCACGCAAUAGAAGCUACGCCAACAAUGGUCAACAUCAAUUUAAUAUUUCAAACCUCAUACGGCGCGUUAAAGGUACGCAACCUAAUUGGUGUCACUUAUGGUAGCAGCGUAGAACUUUCGAAUCGAUGGAAUAUGUGCUGCAAGCAAAUCAAGAACUAUGGAUGCAAACGCUACUACAUCGAACACAAAUCAUGGAAAUACUACAGCAAGAGCAUGGAUGUUAAGACUUGAACGGUGCCGUGCUAGAUUUAGAAUUCCUGAAACAUAAGAAACCCUCCUCCCAGAUGAAUCCAGUACUAGUGAAAUUAAUGAAAGAACAGAUCUUAUAAAAACUCCUAAAGAAAUCUAAAUAGUCCUCACAUAAUGUGCGCAGCUUACACUUUUAGCAAAAAUUGUUCAACUAUUCAAUUCUUUAUACAUAUGUAUAUAGUGUAGUACGAUAAUAUAUGUAUAAAGUAAAUAUAAUAAUAAACACCGAAAUGGCAUGAUAUUUUCAAUAAAUAUG